rnacentral:rRNA from 1 species
AGGACUAACGCUGGCGGCGUGCCUAACACAUGCAAGUCGAGCGGGGUAGCAAUACCCAGCGGCAGACGGGUGAGUAACGCGUGGUCAACCUUCCGUUGAAUGGGGGAUAACUAGCCGAAAGGUUAGCUAAUACCGCAUACGAUCUUUUGAAGGCAUCUUUAAAAGAUGAAAGGAGCAAUUCGUUCAACGACGGGACCGCGUCCCAUUAGCUAGAUGGUGGGGUAAUGGCCUACCAUGGCAACGAUGGGUAGCUGGUUUGAGAGAGCGACCAGCCACACUGGGACUGAGAAACGGCCCAGACUCCUACGGGAGGCAGCAGUGAGGAAUUUUCCGCAAUGGGCGAAAGCCUGACGGAGCGACGCCGCGUGUGGGAAGAAGGCCUUCGGGUCGUAAACCACUGUCGAAGGGGACGAUAAUGACGGUACCUUGGAGGAAGCCCGGCUACUACGUGCCAGCAGCCGC